AUUGAACGCUGGCGGCAGGCCUAACACAUGCAAGUCGAACGAGUGGCGGACGGGUGAGUAAUGUCUGGGAAACUGCCCGAUGGAGGGGGAUAACUACUGGAAACGGUAGCUAAUACCGCAUACCAUCGGAUGUGCCCAGAUGGGAUUAGCUAGUAGGUGGGGUAAAGGCUCACCUAGGCGACGAUCCCUAGCUGGUCUGAGAGGAUGACGGGCCCAACUGGAACUGAGACACGGUCCAGACUCUAAGGGAGGGAAGCAGUGGGGAAUAUUGCACAAUGGGCGCAGGCCUGAGACAGCCAUGCCGCGGGUAUGAAGAAGGCCUUCGGGUUGUAAAGUACUUUCAGCGGGGAGGCGUUACCCGCAGAAGAAGCACCGGCUAACUCCGUGCCAGCAGCCGCGGUAAUUC
rnacentral:rRNA from 1 species